AGGCCAAGCAAAGUAUGUCAGUAUCAAAAUACUUGCAUGCAGCACCUAAGAGGGCAAUAUGUGAAGCCAUGAAAAGGAAGCCAAAGCUACAGUGGAGACCCCUUAAAUUAAGAGAUGCCAGUAACAUGGACUGUCUUCUGAGGAAAGCUGCUGGCUGCAGAGACAACCAAACUGAAAGAGGCCACAUGUGCAUGACCAGCCAGGCCAAAGGGGCAAGGCUGCCAAAGCCCUUUGGAAAUCAUAUCUCCCCAUCAUGUGUCCCAAACGCCAGAGGUAGAGCCACAGGAAAUGUUUGCCUGGCUGGAUUUAAUUCUUGCCUUCAUUCUAUAAAUUCUUUCAAUACCCCUAUUCCUCUCUGUUGGAAAGUUUACUCUUCGCCAUUACAUAUUGGAUAUAUAUAACUUGCUUUUGAUCUUUAUAGGGGUUCAAAGCCAAGAGUUUGCCUUGAGUCUCAGAUGAGACUUUUCACUUGGACUUUUGGACAAUACUAGAACUGUUUAGACUAUAGGGACUAUAGAGAUGAACUAAAUGCAUUUUGUAUUGUGAGAUGAACAUGAACUUAGGGGGAUAAAAUAUUACACUUUGGAUUUGAGGUGUCCCCUCAAAGCUCCUGUGUUGAUACAGGAAUUUUCAAAUGCAAGAUGAUGGAUGUAAUCUAAUCAGACUAUCCCAGUUUGAAUGGACUAACUGGGUGGUAACUGUAGGCAGGUAGGACACCAUGUCCCACUAUUGGAAGAGGUAGGUCACUGAAGUUAUGCUCCGGAAGGGCUAUCUUCCCUGUGUUCCCUUCCCUUCUUUUUCUUACCUUCAUGGACACCAUGAAUGUAGCAGUAUUCCUCCACCAUGUCCUUCUGCCAUGAUGUUCUGCCUCACCUUGGGUCCAGGGCAGUGGAGUUGGCAACCAUGGACUAAACCUCUGAAACCAUGAGCCAAAAUAUAUUUUUUCCUCUUCUACGUUGUUCUUGUUGGGCAAUUUGGUCACAGCAAUGAAAAACUAACACAAAUAAAUAAAUGAAGUACAAAAAUAAAUAAAUAAAAGUCCAUAUGGAGGCAGCAGCAAUGGAAUUCCAAAAUUAAGCUAAGAUCUGAGUCUUAUAAUGAGACUAGGAAAAAAAUCUUAUGAAAUAGUCUUACCUAACAUAAUAAUGUAUAAAUUAAUGUAAGAAAUGUUUACUAAUCAUUUUCUCUGGUUUUCAUUGUAAAGGUAUUGGACAUAAAAUAAUGAACAGUUAAAAAAUUCUUCUUAGGAACUUAUUCUCAGGAGACAGUCUUUUCAAAUGAAUGUGACACACAAAUAAGACAAUAUCAGGUAGUGAUAAAUAUUAUGGAAGCAUUAAAACUAUGUCAUCAAGAGAGAUUUCCUUGACUACUAAGCUUUAGC
rnacentral:lncRNA from 1 species